rnacentral:rRNA from 1 species
CCUACGGGGAGCAGCAGUGGGGAAUAUUGGACAAUGGGCGAAAGCCUGAUCCAGCCAUGCCGCGUGUGUGAAGAAGGCCUUCGGGUUGUAAAGCACUUUCAGUGGGGAAGAAAGCCUUGGGGCUAAUACCCUCGAGGAAGGACAUCACCCACAGAAGAAGCACCGGCUAACUCCGUGCCAGCAGCCGCGGUAAUACGGAGGGUGCGAGCGUUAAUCGGAAUUACUGGGCGCAAAGCGCGCGUAGGCGGUCUGAUAAGCCGGUUGUGAAAGCCCCGGGCUCAACCUGGGAACGGCAUCCGGAACUGUCAGGCUAGAGUGCAGGAGAGGAAGGUAGAAUUCCCGGUGUAGCGGUGAAAUGCGUAGAGAUCGGGAGGAAUACCAGUGGCGAAGGCGGCCUUCUGGACUGACACUGACGCUGAGGUGCGAAAGCGUGGGUAGCAAACAGGAUUAGAUACCCCAGUAGUC